GGCCGGGUGGAGAGGCGUUAAUAAAAUACCCGUAAGGGGAAUAUGCCUGGAGCUUCUGAUAUGGCUCUAGUUGACACCCGGUCGCCAUCUA
rnacentral:ncRNA from 1 species